rnacentral:rRNA from 1 species
GAUCCUGGCUCAGGAUAAACGCUGGCGGCGCACAUAAGACAUGCAAGUCGAACGGAAGUCGUUAUAAAUGGAGUGAAGAUUUAUCUGAAUGAAAUUUGUAACAAUGGCUUUAGUGGCGGACUGGUGAGUAACGCGUAAGGAACCUACCUUUUAGAGGGGAAUAACAAUGAGAAAUCAUUGCUAAUACCGCAUAUGCCAUAGCUAUUGCAUGAUAGUAGUGGGAAAGGAGCAAUUCG